rnacentral:rRNA from 2 species
UUUUCCCCCCCCAGGGGACUUCCACAAUGGACGCAAGUCUGAUGGAGCAACGCCGCGUGAGUGAAGAAGGCUUUCGGGUCGUAAAACUCUGUUGUUGGAGAAGAAUGGUCGGCAGAGUAACUGUUGUCGGCGUGACGGUAUCCAACCAGAAAGCCACGGCUAACUACGUGCCAGCAGCCGCGGUAAUACGUAGGUGGCAAGCGUUAUCCGGAUUUAUUGGGCGUAAAGCGAGCGCAGGCGGUUUUUUAAGUCUGAUGUGAAAGCCCUCGGCUUAACCGAGGAAGCGCAUCGGAAACUGGGAAACUUGAGUGCAGAAGAGGACAGUGGAACUCCAUGUGUAGCGGUGAAAUGCGUAGAUAUAUGGAAGAACACCAGUGGCGAAGGCGGCUGUCUGGUCUGUAACUGACGCUGAGGCUCGAAAGCAUGGGUAGCGAACAGGAUUAGAUACCCUGGUAGUCCAUGCCGUAAACGAUGAAUGCUAGGUGUUGGAGGGUUUCCGCCCUUCAGUGCCGCAGCUAACGCAUUAAGCAUUCCGCCUGGGGAGUACGACCGCAAGGUUGAAACUCAAAGGAAUUGACGGGGGCCCGCACAAGCGGUGGAGCAUGUGGUUUAAUUCGAAGCAACGCGAAGAACCUUACCAGGUCUUGACAUCUUUUGAUCACCUGAGAGAUCAGGUUUCCCCUUCGGGGGCAAAAUGACAGGUGGUGCAUGGUGUCGUCAGCUACGUUUUAUGA